GAAUGUGACACAUCUGACCUGGAAGCCCUAGCUUGUGAUUGAAGAGGAGCUAGGCAAAGUAGCCUCUUAACCCCAUCAACAGCCACUGUCUCUUCAGUUUCCAUCUUUUCACAGCUACCUGUAGUUUCUGUCUUCAGUUACAGAAGACCUUUGAGCUGACCUCAGGUAUUCCAUUUUCCUAUCUAACUAAAAUGAAGGAGCAAGAAGCAGCAGCAGAAAGUGACUUCAGAAAAAGAAGGAAGAAGGCCGAAGAGCACCAAUCUAUAGAUAGAGCGAGCCUGUGCUAACUCAUCUGAGAUAAACUGAAUUUCAAAAAAAUCAGCACAAACCAUAUUCAUCAAAGU